AAUUCUCGUGUGGGGAGGGCUUGCAUAGUCAGAACAGUCAAUCAUCAAGUAGAGAAGACUAGAGGCAGAAGCAAGUGGUUUACUUAUUUGCCAGAUCCUCUGUUUCAACUCCCAGACAGCACUGCCCACCCUUAUCACCCGUGCUGUACUUGGAAUCUCAGGAUAAUCUGCUUGUGGAUUUACAUCCCUAACUGGUUCUGACCUAUGCAGAGGGUAGCUGAGAGGCUUCAGGAGGGCCCCUCUAUAGAAUGCCCAGUGGUCACAGAAGGUCAAGGCUCACAAGAUGAGGAGAGGACUCAUCACCAGGGCACGUUGCUGGUGUUUUGCUCAAAAAGGAAUUUGCUUUCAAACAGACAUGCAUUCACUAAUCUCUUUUCUUUAAAAAAAAAAAAA